ACAGAGCUCAGAGACUGAGAGGAAGCAGAUGGCUGUGGGCAGGGGGUUGCGGUUUUGCUAUUAUGCUUCCAGGGGAGUUUGCUUUCGUGGGGAGAGCUGUAUGUACCUCCACGGAGACAUGUGCGACAUGUGUGGGCUGCAGACCUUGCACCCCAUGGAUGCUGCCCAGAGGGAAGAACAUAUGAGGGCCUGCAUUGAAGCACACGAGAAAGAUAUGGAACUCUCGUUUGCUGUGCAGCGUGGUAUGGACAAGAUGUAUCCGCAGGUGGAGAAAUGCCAGACAGUUUGAGAACAGGAUCAUCAAGUCUUGCCCACAGUGCAGGGUCACCUCCGAAUUGGUCAUUCCCAGUGAGUUCUGGGUGGAGGAGGAGGAAGAAAAGCAGAAACUUAUUCAGCAAUACAAGGAGGCAAUGAGCAACAAGGCCUGCAGGUGAACGGCAUGGAUUCUGAGAACCACAAGAAGAGCCAAGUCAUAAAAGGAUUGGUGCCCGAGUGAGUCCUUGAAUAGUUCAUGGAACAGAACUUCUCAGUCUUCACUCCCCUUUACCCAUACUGAAGUUUACAUGAUUAAUAUAAUGUAAUAUAUAACCAAGCCACUGAGAUUUGGGAGUUUCUUUGAUUGCAGCUGGUGUUUAAUUUCUGAGUAACUAAGAAGGAAUACAUUUUUGAGGACAUGGUAUUUGAUCUGCAACCACCCAUGGUUUUAGAGAAGAAGCAACCCAUGUAGGUAUGUGGGCACCAAUUAUUCCAGUUAGACAAACAACACACCCAAAGCCCAAAGUCUGGGAGAAUGUGUUUAAGAAACAACACACAACGACGACAAAAAAUAAUAUAGCUGGUUUCUAGUGAAUGGAGAGGAGAGUGGUAGGAAAUGAAGUUUAAGAGGAGUGUGGAGACCAGAUCCCAUAGGACUGUGUAAACAGUGAAGAAGAGUUCACAUUUCAUUAUAAUGGUGAUGAAACCUCAUUGGAAAAUUUUAAGCAGAGAAAAUCCAUGAUCUUACUAUGAUACACACAUCUUUAAAAGAUUGAGUUACUCUUUGUUGAAUGAAUUUUAAGAAUCCAGAGAGGAUGACAAGGGACCAGUUAGGAGAUAAUAAUCUUGCAGGCAAAACAUGUUAGUGACUUAAACAAGAUUUAUUAUAAUGGAAAGAGGAAAAAUUGAUAUAUCCCACUGAAUCAUUCAAUUAACCAGGUCUAAAAAAAUAUGGAUUAUACAUUUAUGUAAUAAUUAUAUUAAGAUCUGUUGUGAUUCACUUAGGAUGAUGGCAAAAAUAUUAAAGGGAAUAUUAGGGAAAGUUAUAGGAAAUAAUCACAAAUCCUUUGAAAGGCCAAAAGCUUAAAUAGCUUGUAAUAAUUGAACAGGCUAAAGGCAGCCAGUUCUUACCGUAGAGCACUAGGUCAUAGGGUAAAUACUAGGAACAAUAGAGUAUUCCCCAGUUACAUCUGUUUACUCUACCUUCAUUAAUUAAUUUUUAAGCCAAAUGGCCCCCUCAGUGGUUGGGGUGGGGUGGGGGCGGGGAGGUCAACUAAGGAAAUUGCCCCCUAAUGGUAUUUACUUUAAACCGUGGUAUUUAAGUUUUAAUCAUUCGUAAAACUACUCUCUUAACCAUGUUAAUUAUCCUUAAGUGUGUUUACUCAAAGCUUCUGUUGUUAAUUGUAUACUAAAUAAAUGCCUGAAGUGCAAGCCGCUCAGGACCAGCCGCAGUGACAAACCUCUCUUGGUGUGCAGGCAGUCGGACGCUCAGCUGGACUGGCAAAACAAAAUAUCUGUAUGUCAAUGUACAUUUCAUUCAUCCGUCUUUUGGGUCAGGGUCUGCGGGCAAACCCCUGCAGCUAAUGCCCUCUGGUAAGACGCCAUACCUCAACUGGUGCCCCAUGUAAGGUGCAAUACCACAAAGAUACAAUACAAUUGUUACAUUAGCAAAACAUAUGGGUCAUGAAUUAUGUUAUAUUCAGGACAGUUGUAGACAGUCUGCAGGGAGGUCUAAUUUUAGCUUUUUUAGACUUAGUAUAAAUUUAGUGAAGCCUGUAGUUGUUCACAGUAACAGAAAAUACAAAAAUCUAUUGGUUGAUCUAGUGGCCACUAGAUAGCCCGAUAAACUCUACUUCAUAGACCUGGGAGCUAGAGACUGAAGUGACUGCAGUUUGUUGCUGAAGACUAUAUAGUACAAAAAGCCUUUGUUGUUGUUAUUGUGAAUGGAAAAUAAUUAUCAACAUUAUACAAAUUAAACAGGUUUAUAUCGGAGAGGCUCUGCUAUAGAGUCCUACAAAAUGGAAUUAAAUAAAAUUUCUCUGAUAUAGAAAAACACUCAUUUUAGAAUGAAAAAUAGUGAUAUGCAUGUGUGUAAAAUGUGCAAUCUUAGUCUCGGGCUUCAGUUUCAUGAUUUUAGAUCACUUCCCUCUUUUUCAUGAGAAAAGCUCCUAGACACUCCUAUUUGGGAAUUGUAUAAAUAGUGAAUAAUAUAAUGAAGAAAAAAGUCUAAAACAAGGGCUUGCUGUACACUAUCUACAGGUGUCUUGAACAUGUUUUAUAAGGUAUUCUUUUGCUUGUUUAUGAGUUUGGUUAUUUGUUUUUAUUUGCUGAAUUGUAAGAGUUCUUUGUGUAUUUUGGAUACAAGUCCUUUAUCAGAUAUGUGAUGUGCAAAUAUAUCCUCCAAGGCUGAAGCUUGUUUCUUCAUUCCCUCAAGGGUUAAUUUCUCAGAGGGAAAAAUAAUUUUAAUAAAGUCCAAUUUAUCAA
rnacentral:sRNA from 1 species